rnacentral:misc_RNA from 1 species
AAUUUUUGGGAUAAAGGUUUAAUUUAGUUAAGUUGAGUUGAGUUGGAGUUACAUGGGCAGUCUUACAUUUAGUUAUUUAUUUACUGGAGGGUUUGUUUGGAAAGUUUGCAAGAAGUGAAUCUUGGAUAUUUAUUUACUACAGAUCCCUGAAUCAUUAGAUAUUGAUGAUAGAACUUGGUGAUAUUUUAACUUGUAGAAAUAUUGGAUUUGGUGCUAUUUUACAUGUAAAGGUAAAUUUGUGGUUUUGGUGCUUCAGCUUCAAUUUAUCUAUUUUUAAACUCCUUUUAAUAUAUGUGAUUCAUUUUGUAUCCUAUUUCUCAUGUCAUAACUAUUUGGGUGUUUUCUGGGCAACUCAGUGUGACAAUGGGCAUACAGC